CUUACUUGACAUCUUAAAAAAUUUCAUAAUAUGACCCCUUUAAAGCAUGAAGAAAUUUCUGUCACAGGAAAAAAACCUUUACAUAUGCUAUUAUAAUGCUCAAAGAUGAAUUUUAAGUAAUAAAAUUAUCAACUACAGGGAGACUUUGAGAUGAUUUGGACACAAGCUAUAUGAUAAUGUACAUUUCCGGUUGCAUACUUUAAAUAAUGAUUUAGUGUUUGACUACACCUAGUGUCUGUAUUCAUUUUAUUACAGGUGAGUCCCUCCUUCAGUGUAUUGUAAUGUGGGACCCCAGCUAUAAUUUCAUGAAAGAGUCAGUAUAACUUUUAUUGUACAUCGCAAGAAAUGAUCAGAUUACUUGUGAAAUUAGGAGUUAUGCAAUAGUCUGACCUUUAUAUAUAAAGCAGCAUCAAGAGCAGCAGUCCUGCUGUCAGGUUUCUGUCACACACAAUAAUGAUUUGGAAAGAGAAACUCUUGCUUUGCUCUUUCUUUGUUUCUAUCUUCCUGCUUCCACAGGCUAAAUGUGGUCCUGUGAAUGCAGUUGAAGACACAGUUUUGAAUGGCGAUCAUUCAGCUCCCUUUGCGGUACUCAAGAAUCUUCUACAAAGAAAAUCAAGAGCUGCAGAGGUAAGGCUGUUUAUAUGCUUUGUCAUGCAAUGUUUACAGGUGUUUUACAUUAUUAUAGGACAUGUUAACACUUUUUACCUUUCUCAUUAUCUUUUUGUCAACUACCAAGGACUGUUCAGGUAUGUGUUUUUUAUUCUUUAUAAAUUAUGGUAAAUUAAGUUCACUUGAUUUAUUAAAGACAUCAACCAGAGACUUAAAGGGGCAGUUCAUCUUACAAAUUAAUGUUUGGUCAAAAUAAUUUGGCAAGACA